rnacentral:rRNA from 1 species
CUCAGAACGAACGCUGGCGGCGUGCUUAACACAUGCAAGUCGGAUGCGAACGGCGCUUUCGGGCGUUGAGUAGCAUGGCAGACGGGUGAGGAGCGCGUAUCUGACUGGACUCAGGCUGGGGGAUAGUCCCUCGAAAGGGGGUUGAAUACCGCAUGUGCUCGGUGCUGUGAGGGCAUCGAGGAAAGUUGGCCUCUGCGGGCACGCUGAUGGCCUGAGACAGGGAUGCGUCCUAUUAGCUAGCUGGUGGGGUAAGGGCCUACCAGGGCGACGAUGGGUAGCUGGUCUGAGAGGAUGAUCAGCCACACUGGGACUGCGACACGGCCCAGACUCCUACGGGAGGCAGCAGUGGGGAAUUUUGCGCAAUGGGCGCAAGCCUGACGCAGCAACGCCGCGUGCAUGACGACGCCUUUCGAGGUGUAAAGUGCUGUCGACCGGGACGAAGGGGCGAGGGCGAACAGCUUUCGCGCAUGACGGUACCGGUGGAGGAAGCCCCGGCUAACUCCGUGCCAGCAGCCGCGGUAAGACGGAGGGGGCGAGCGUUGUUCGGAAUUACUGGGCGUAAAGCGCGCGUAGGCGGUGCAGCAAGUGGUGCGUGAAAGCCCUCGGCUUAACCGGGGACGGGCGUGCCAAACUGUUGGACUGGAGUGCCGGAGGGGGAGGCGGAAUUCCUGGUGGAGCGGUGAAAUGCGUAGAGAUCAGGAAGAACGUCGGUGGCGAAGGCGGCCUCCUGGACGGACACUGACGCUGAGGUGCGACAGCGUGGGGAGCGAACGGGAUUAGAUACCCCGGUAGUCCACGCCGUAAACGAUGGGUACUAGGUGUGGGGCUUGUGAUGAGGCCCGUGCCGGAGCUAACGCAGUAAGUACCCCGACUGGGGAGUACGGUCGCAAGGCUGAAACUCGAAGGAAUUGACGGGGGCCCGCACAAGCGGUGGAGCAUGUGGUUUAAUUCGACGGCAACGCGCAGAA